ensembl:snoRNA
AUCCUUUUGUAGUUCACAAGCAUGAUAAUUGGGUGUUCACACGCUUGUGUGAGAUGUGCCACCCUUGAACCUUGUCACAACAUCGGCACAUUACCAAUAUGAGC